GACGAACGCUGGCGGCGUGCUUAACACAUGCAAGUCGAACGGAAAGGCCCCCACCUUGGUGGGGGUGCUCGAGUGGCGAACGGGUGAGUAACACGUGGGUGAUCUGCCCUGUACUUCGGGAUAAGCUUGGGAAACUGGGUCUAAUACCGGAUAGGACCAUGGUUUAGUGUCUCAUGGUGGAAAAAUUAUUGUUUUGGUGCAGGAUGAGCUCGCGGCCUAUCAGCUUGUUGGUGGGGUAAUGGCCUACCAAGGCGUCGACGGGUAGCCGGCCUGAGAGGGUGGACGGCCACAUUGGGACUGCGAUACGGCCCAGACGCCUACGGGAGGCAGCAGUGGGGAAUAUUGCACAAUGGGCGCAAGCCUGAUGCAGCGACGCCGCGUGGGGGAUGACGGCCUUCGGGUUGUAAACUCCUUUCGUUAGGGACGAAGCCACACCUUUUUUGGGUGUGGUGACGGUACCUUUGUUAAGAAGCACCGGCUAACUACGUG
rnacentral:rRNA from 1 species